rnacentral:rRNA from 1 species
AGUGAACGCUGGCGGUAGGCCUAACACAUGCAAGUCGAACGGCAGCACAGUAAGAGCUUGCUCUUACGGGUGGCGAGUGGCGGACGGGUGAGGAAUACAUCGGAAUCUACUUUUUCGUGGGGGAUAACGUAGGGAAACUUACGCUAAUACCGCAUACGACCUACGGGUGAAGGCAGGGGAUCUUCGGACCUUGCGCGAUUGAAUGAGCCGAUGUCGGAUUAGCUAGUUGGCGGGGUAAAGGCCCACCAAGGCGACGAUCCGUAGCUGGUCUGAGAGGAUGAUCAGCCACACUGGAACUGAGACACGGUCCAGACUCCUACGGGAGGCAGCAGUGGGGAAUAUUGGACAAUGGGCGCAAGCCUGAUCCAGCCAUACCGCGUGGGUGAAGAAGGCCUUCGGGUUGUAAAGCCCUUUUGUUGGGAAAGAAAAGCAGCAGGUUAAUACCCCGCUGUUCUGACGGUACCCAAAGAAUAAGCACCAGCUAACUUCGUG